UAAAUACUCCCUUCGUCCGAAAAUACUUGUCAUCAAAAUGGAUAGAUACAUCCCUUUUCAUCCAUUUUGAUGACAAAUAUUUUCGGACGGAAGGAGUAAAAG
rnacentral:pre_miRNA from 1 species